GUGAACGCUGGCGGUAGGCCUAACACCUGCAAGUCGAACGGCAGCACAGUAAGAGCUUGCUCUUACGGGUGGCGAGUGGCGGACGGGUGAGGAAUACAUCGGAAUCUACUUUUUCGUGGGGGAUAACGUAGGGAAACUUACGCUAAUACCGCAUACGACCUACGGGUGAAAGCAGGGGAUCUUCGGACCUUGCGCGAUUGAAUGAGCCGAUGUCGGAUUAGCUAGUUGGCGGGGUAAAGGCCCACCAAGGCGACGAUCCGUAGCUGGUCUGAGAGGAUGAUCAGCCACACUGGAACUGAGACACGGUCCAGACUCCUACGGGAGGCAGCAGUGGGGAAUAUUGGACAAUGGGCGCAAGCCUGAUCCAGCCAUACCGCGUGGGUGAAGAAGGCCUUCGGGUUGUAAAGCCCUUUUAUUGGGAAAGAAAAGCAGCAGGUUAAUACCCCGCUGUUCUGACGGUACCCAAAGAAUAAGCACCGGCUAACUUCGUG
rnacentral:rRNA from 1 species